CUCUAGAGGUCAAAAUGAAGAGACUGAACCUUCUGUGUUGACUGAGGCUGGUAACUUGGCCAUCCCAACCCCACCUGAGGCCACCAAUACACUUAAGCCAUUGCUCAGCAGCCCUGAAAGAGUGGAAGCAAGGACUCCAAAUCCUAAUUUGUUGCAGUCAGAAAAAUCUCUGUACAAAGAUCCAAGAUGCGAGGAGGCCCUGAAGCCUGGAAACUGUGGCGACUAUGUGGUUCGCUGGUAUUAUGACAAACAGGUCAACUCUUGUGCUCGCUUUUGGUUCAGUGGCUGCAAUGGCUCAGGAAACAGAUUCCACAGUGAAAAGGAAUGUCAAGAAACCUGCAUUAAACAAUGAACAAGCACACUAACGGGCUUCAAGCAGAGGUUUAGAAAGAGCCUGACACAUCUGGGCAUACAGGAAGUAGCGAUAGUUCAUAAAUCAUAGAGCCCUCUCGACCACCACUUAGGGAUGUAGUCUGAUUAACUGUCUACACCGCUGAAGGGUGGAAGGACUAGGGACCUGGACUCCGCUGUGUAACUUUAGAACACAGUCUUUAUCUGUUUCACAACCUGCAGUGUGACCCUGAUUCCUCCUCAUUCUAAUACACAUACAAUGGCAGUUCACACGCCACCCUCCCUGUGCCCGCACUCUUACAGCACCUUCACAGUGGUUUGUGAGGAGAAGGAAUUUGGUUUGAACAUUGGAGGGAUGUCUUCGUGUGAGUGCUGGAAUAGUGGGGGGAGUUAUGAGUUUAGCCCAAAGUGAUAGUAGAGAGAAAUACGUCUGAAAUAAACUCACUAAUUGUAUGAUAAA
rnacentral:lncRNA from 1 species